rnacentral:rRNA from 1 species
GAUGAACGCUGACAGAAUGCUUAACACAUGCAAGUCUACUUGAUUCUACUUCGGUAGUUGAUGGUGGCGGACGGGUGAGUAACGCGUAAAGAAUCUGCCCUUUAGUUUGGGAUAACCUUUGGAAACGAAGGCUAAUACCGAAUAUUAUGGAGAUGUCGCAUGACGACUUCAUGAAAGCUAUAUGCGCUAGAGGAGGACUUUGCGUCCCAUUAGUUAGUUGGUGAGGUAAUGGCUCACCAAGACCGCGAUGGGUAGCCGGCCUGAGAGGGUGAUCCGCCUCAAGGGAACUAAGACACGGUCCUUACUACUACGGGAUGCAGAAGUGAGGAAUAUUGGACAAUGGCCCACAAGUCUGAUCCAGCAAUUCUGUGUGCACGAUGAAGGUCUUCGGAUUGUAAAGGACUUUCAGUAGGGAAGAAAAAAAUGACAGUACCUACAGAAGAAGCGACGGCUAAAUAUGUGCCAGCCGCCGCGGUAAAAC